GCCUACGACCAUCUCACCCUGAAUGCGCCCGAUCUCGUCUGAUCUCGGAAGCUAAGCAGAGUCGAGAAUGGUUAGUACUUUGAUGGGAGACUGCCUGGGAAUACCAGGUGUUGUAGGCU
rnacentral:rRNA from 1 species